GACGAACGCUGGCGGCGUGCUUAACACAUGCAAGUCGAACGGAAAGGCCUUGCUUUUGUGGGGUGCCCGAGUGGCGAACGGGUGAGUAACACGUGAGUAACCUGCCCUUGACUUUGGGAUAACUUCAGUAAACUGGGGCUAAUACCGGAUAGGAGCUCCUGCUGCAUGGUGGGGGUUGGAAAGUUUCGGCGGUUGGGGAUGGACUCGCGGCUUAUUAGCUUGUUGGUGGGGUAGUGGCUUACCAAGGCGUUGACGGGUAGCCGGCCUGAGAGGGUGACCGGCGACAAUGGGACUAAGAUACGGCCCAGACGCCUACGGGAGGCAGCAGUGGGGAAUAUUGCACAAUGGGCGGAAGCCUGAUGCAGCAACGCCGCGUGCGGGAUGACGGCCUUCGGGUUGUAAACCGCUUUCGCCUGUGACGAAGCGUGAGUGACGGUAAUGGGUAAAGAAGCACCGGCUAACUACGUG
rnacentral:rRNA from 1 species